UAUACUGUUGUGUGGAUAUUUUCUCCUCGGACCUUGAAAAUUGAUGGUGGGGAUACGCAAACUUCUCAACAGGCCGUACCAAUAUCCGCAGCAGGUCUCCAAGGUGAAGAGUCUCAAGUCGAUAGAAUAAUGUAGGUAAGGGAAGUCGGCAAAUUAGAUCCGUAACUUCGGGAUAAGGUUUGGCUCUGAAGAUUGAGAUAGUCGGGCUUGAAUGGGAAACAAUAAUAUAGUUUAUGUGCUCGUUCUGGGUAAAUAGAGUUUCGAUCAUUUAUGGUUGUAACUUGUUCCCCGGAUAGUUAGUUACGUAUCCAAUUGUGGAACUUUCUUGCUAAAAUUUUUAAGAAUACUAGUUGUGUCAAACCAAUUAGUUAUAACGAUUAUCAAUUAACAAUCAAUUCAGAACUGGCACGGACUUGGGGAAUCCGACUGUCUAAUUAAAACAAAGCAUUGUGAUGGCCCUAGCCGGUGUUGACACAAUGUGAUUUCUGCCCAGUGCUCUGAAUAUGUCUCUUAUAUACAUAUG